ensembl:lncRNA
GUCGCUGCCGGGGCGUCUCGGAAACGGCGGGACGGUCUACCUUGCCCCGGCAGGUUGCGUCCGGCUCGGUCUCUCCGCGGCGGCGGCGGCUAGGGGUCGCUGCCGGGGCGGCUUGCGAUCCGCGUCCAGGUCUACCCCGUUUCGGAUUGUCUUGGCCGCUCUGGCUGUGGGGGGGGGCGCUACAGCUCCGGAGCUGCCAGAGGCGUCGCUGUAAUUUUGUACCUCCAGUUACGUCGAGGUAAACCUCGGCUGCCGUCGGAGCCGCUGCCGGUAGUCGGCGCCUAUGGGACUAGAACGUUUUUUUCGGAUGCCUUAUAUGUUCGUCUGUAGGAGCGAGUGAGGACUCGGCUCCGGUAGUGGCGGUGAGCGGGCGCUCGCGAGCAGGGUUGACCGGCCGGCCGCCUAGAGAGGGGAUCGGCGGCGGCGGCGGCGGCUUUCUCGGGCAUCGGUUCGUUCGAUCGGUCCGGUCGCUUCGGUUUGUCCGUCGCUCCUCAUCCCGCAGCUCUGUCCUGGGCUAAGGCGGUUUUGCAGGCGAGCAGCGAAAAAAAGCCGGAGAAGGCGAGAGAGAGGCAAGAGCAAGCCGGCUCCCGCGCCGCCAGGGCGAAGGCGAGAGAGAGAGGGAGACGAGAAGGGCACGGGCCGGUCUGCCGGCACCCGAACGUAGGAUGGCCGGGGGCGUCCCCGGCGGGUCCCGCCGCGAUGGAAGAGGGGGACCCGGAGGUCGUAGGUCGUGGCGGCGUCGCCUCGUCCUCCUUUCGCACCGCAUUCUCACCCGCACGCGGGAGCCCC